CCCGAUGCCAUGACGCAAUCAAUAAGCGACGACAGCUUGGGUUGUUGUUUCUUCAAAUCGUGGCCAGACGGAAUUCAGUUUCUAAUUUCAUUGACAAGGAAAUUCAUCUACCACUGAGGAGCGCUUGAAACCUGCCAUGCUGUAGUCUGCUGUCAUCAGUGAUUUCUAUGGUGGGAAAGACUUGAGAACAACUACUUUUACAAAUAGCAACGGUGCUUCCUGAAGAAUUCCUGGAGGGAAGUGCGAGGAUAAAAACUGAGGAAGAACACACCACAUUACUUGUAAUUCAGCAAACCAAAGGGGAGGAGAGGACAGGUGUGCAAAGAGGAGGUGUUGGGGAUGGGGUUGAAGAGCCAAAGGAGGACGUCAUGGUUCACAGCGGCUCUGCUUCCCCAAUGAAAACAACAUCAUCAGCAUCGCCUGAUUUAACUGUUUCUGCUACAGCACCUCCUCUUGUGCCUCCUGCUGGCUGUACUACAGAUCAGGACAUAACUGAGACCUCCACCAAACUCCUCACCACAGACCUCACCGCCAACUCUGAUUUAGCUCAACCCCCUGCUUUGACUUCUGCUAAUGCAGAGCCUCCUGUUGUAACCACAGUAAAAUCACUAAGCACUAACUCAAGUCCAGCAUUAGACAGGUCCUCUGCUCCGACACCAAACCCUGCUCAGGGCCCAGUCAAUGGCCGUACAUCAGGCAGGAAGAGGACUCCUAAAGCCUGUGACUGCUGUGGCCCCAACAGUGCGGGACACAAUGCCAGAAACUCAAGCAGAGGGAGGGGAAAAGGGAGAGGAAGAGGGAGGGGGGCUUAUAAGGACCUUGGGGACAUCCCAAAAAGAAAAGUGGGCCAGUUGACACGUAUCAAGAGCUUUGAUUUGACCAAGAAGCAAGUAGAGGAGGCAGAGGAUGAAGGUGACGUGUAUGAGAAGGUGGAAAUGUCUGUAGCGGUGGCUGAUACUCAGCCUCAAAGCACCGUCGCCAUGCCUGUCACAGUCUCCUUGCAGGAUGGACCAAUGAGGAACUGUGUUGCUCCAGAGAAAGGGGACGCACAGAUAAAGGAGAACACAUUGAUUGAGGCCUCAGGGGUUGCUGGGGCAGUAGGAAAGGGAGAUGGGAAUGACAGAGGUACAGGGAUUUUUUUGUUAGGAACAACAGGCAGAGGAGCACUAGUGGUGAGAGGUCAAGGGAGAGGAAUGGUGAAACCUCCUAUUACUUCGAAAAUGGAAGUUAAUGUUGAAAUAAAAGGGGGUGUUGUCAUCAGUUCUAAAGCAGAUGCCUUAAAUCAGUCAGUGUUAGGGCAGGGGGGAAACCAAAAUGUACAGACGCACCAUGGAGACCAGUUUUACCCCAGCUCAGUCAUAUGUCCAUUGGGCAAUGGAGACACAGUAAGCCUAUCUGACACCGAAGGGGAGUUGGAGGAGGACAGCAUGAUUGUGACUGAACCUGGAAAUGCCCUACUGUCCAUCUUCAGGCAUUCAGGUAACGCUUCAAGAUCAGAAACUCCCCAGGACCUUGACUCUGAGAUGCAGGUAGACCAAAUCCCUGAUGGAACAGACCAAGUUUCUUUACCAAUAACACUGUCCAAUGGAAAUGCCCCCACACUAACAGACUCUGGUCACAAAUCCACAACUACGGAAGUGGAAACUUCUCAUCCAGCUUCCUCUCCAAGUCACUGUCCUAUCACAGUGAGCAGCAUGCAGCACGACUGGGCAUUAGGAGACCACAGACUGUACUGUUGGAGUGGCACAUGGGAGAAAAAUGAGAUGGAAGAAAUGUCGGGUAAGAGUUGGUCAGAAGAAACGGAUAUGGAUGAAAAGAAUGAAGAAAGCCUGGAGCAACUUACUGACAUGAUCCACGGUAAGAUGUGUUUGGUAGCAGACAGUGGUACUGUAUGUUUCUACAUGAACAGAUUCAUCAUCCUUCGUGUUUAGUCAUAUGAAAAAUGGUCAAUGAUUGAUGUUUUUACACAUAAACUCAAAUAGCAACCGCUGACGAUAUCAGCACUUUUUGUGUCAUAUGACAUCCAUAAACUAUUCAUGGCAUCGUCCAUGAACCAUUAAUAAACUCAAACUUG
ensembl:lncRNA